rnacentral:rRNA from 1 species
CCUACGGGAGGCAGCAGUGGGGAAUAUUGCACAAUGGGGGAAACCCUGAUGCAGCGACGCCGCGUGAGUGAAGAAGUAAUUCGUUAUGUAAAGCUCUAUCAGCAGGGAAGAAAAUGACGGUACCUGACUAAGAAGCCCCGGCUAACUACGUGCCAGCAGCCGCGGUAAUACGUAGGGGGCAAGCGUUAUCCGGAUUUACUGGGUGUAAAGGGAGCGUAGACGGCAGGACAAGUCUGGAGUGAAAGGCGGGGGCUCAACCCCCGGACUGCUCUGGAAACUGUACGGCUGGAGUGCAGGAGGGGUAAGUGGAAUUCCUAGUGUAGCGGUGAAAUGCGUAGAUAUUAGGAGGAACACCAGUGGCGAAGGCGGCUUACUGGACUGUAACUGACGUUGAGGCUCGAAAGCGUGGGGAGCAAACAGGAUUAGAUACCCGGGUAGUC